AUUGAACGCUGGCGGAAUGCUUUACACAUGCAAGUCGAACGGCAGCACGGGACUCAGGCAACUGAGCCCUGGUGGCGAGUGGCGAACGGGUGAGUAAUGUAUCGGAACGUACCCAGUCGUGGGGGAUAACUAUCCGAAAGGAUAGCUAAUACCGCAUACGUCCUGAGGGAGAAAGCGGGGGACCUGCAAGGGCCUCGCGCGAUUGGAGCGGCCGAUAUCGGAUUAGCUAGUUGGUAGGGUAAAGGCCUACCAAGGCGACGAUCCGUAGCGGGUCUGAGAGGACGACCCGCCACACUGGAACUGAGACACGGUCCAGACUCCUACGGGAGGCAGCAGUGGGGAAUUUUGGACAAUGGGGGCAACCCUGAUCCAGCCAUUCCGCGUGAGUGAAGAAGGCCUUCGGGUUGUAAAGCUCUUUCAGCAGGAACGAAACGGUCGGCUUUAAUAAAGUUGGCUAAUGACGGUACCUGCAGAAGAAGCACCGGCUAACUACGUGCCAGCAGCCGCGGUAAUACGUAGGGUGCGAGCGUUAAUCGGAAUUACUGGGCGUAAAGCGUGCGCAGGCGGCGACAUAAGACAGAUGUGAAAUCCCCGGGCUCAACCUGGGAACUGCGUUUGUGACUGUGUUGCUUGAGUGUGGCAGAGGGGGGUGGAAUUCCACGUGUAGCAGUGAAAUGCGUAGAGAUGUGGAGGAACACCGAUGGCGAAGGCAGCCCCCUGGGUUAACACUGACGCUCAUGCACGAAAGCGUGGGGAGCAAACAGGAUUAGAUACCCUGGUAGUCCACGCCCUAAACGAUGCCAACUAGGUGUUGGGGAAGGAGACUUCCUUAGUGCCGUAGCUAACGCGUGAAGUUGGCCGCCUGGGGAGUACGGUCGCAAGAUUA
rnacentral:rRNA from 1 species